rnacentral:rRNA from 1 species
AGUGAACGCUGGCGGUAGGCCUAACACAUGCAAGUCGAACGGCAGCACAGUAAGAGCUUGCUCUUACGGGUGGCGAGUGGCGGACGGGUGAGGAAUACAUCGGAAUCUACUUUUUCGUGGGGGAUAACGUAGGGAAACUUACGCUAAUACCGCAUACGACCUACGGGUGAAAGCAGGGGAUCUUCGGACCUUGCGCGAUUGAAUGAGCCGAUGUCGGAUUAGCUAGUUGGCGGGGUAAAGGCCCACCAAGGCGACGAUCCGUAGCUGGUCUGAGAGGAUGAUCAGCCACACUGGAACUGAGACACGGUCCAGACUCCCACGGGAGGCAGCAGUGGGGAAUAUUGGACAAUGGGCGCAAGCCUGAUCCAGCCAUCCCGCGUGGGUGAAGAAGGCCUUCGGGUUGUAAAGCCCUUUUGUUGGGAAAGAAAAGCAGCAGGUUAAUACCCCGCUGUUCUGACGGUACCCAAAGAAUAAGCACCGGCUAACUUCG